rnacentral:tRNA from 1 species
GGUUGAUUAGUGUAGUUGGUUAUCACAUCGGAUUUUGACUUAUGUUAAAUAUUCCGGGGACCCGGGUUCGAAUCCCAGAUCGACCU